AUUGAACGCUGGCGGCAGGCCUAACACAUGCAAGUCGAGCGGAUGACAGGAGCUUGCUCCUGAAUUCAGCGGCGGACGGGUGAGUAAUGCCUAGGAAUCUGCCUGGUAGUGGGGGACAACGUUUCGAAAGGAACGCUAAUACCGCAUACGUCCUACGGGAGAAAGCAGGGGACCUUCGGGCCUUGCGCUAUCAGAUGAGCCUGCGUAGGAUUAGCUAGUUGGUAGGGUAAAGGCCUACCAAGGCGACGAUCCUUAACUGGUCUGAGAGGAUGAUCAGUCACACUGGAACUGAGACACGGUCCAGACUCCUACGGGUGGCAG
rnacentral:rRNA from 1 species